rnacentral:rRNA from 1 species
GACGAAGGAUGCAAGCGUUAUCCGGAUUCAUUGGGUUUAAAGGGUGCGUAGGCGGCCCGGUAAGUCAGUGGUGAAAUCUCCUUGCUUAACAAGGAAACUGCCAUUGAUACUGCUGGGCUUGAGUACAGAUGCUGUGGGCGGAAUAUGACAUGUAGUGGUGAAAUGCUUAGAUAUGACAUAGAACACCAAUUGCGAAGGCAGCUCACUACACGAAUAUUGACACUGAGGCACGAAAGCGUGGGGAUCAAACAGG